CCUGCCGGCUGAACCAGGCGCACGUUUGCCCCUCUAAUUGGGAGGUUCCAAACUUCACCACAGGGGGCGCUGCGUGGUCGGAGGUGCUUUGGCCUUGUUUGCGUUCCGGAAACGCACAGUGGUUACGGGCAUAAUGUAAAGUCAGUUCCGUGGGGGUCAUUAGCACGUCAUAGCCUGGUCCUGAGGGGCAGAGUCCAUGUCACUGAGGAAAGCAGAGGUUCUCGGCCAGCAGUAAUAACACGCUCACCUGUGUGAGGCCCUACUCUUGGGGGUGUUCUUUCUUCUGUCUUCAAACCUCAAGAUCCAGUCUCCCAUUCUUCAAAACCUACUCUGGAAUAAAUCUCAGGAAAGGGCAUCUAAGCAGAUGUGGCUCCAGAUCUGGCAGGACAAUUGUUUUGCUGACAUUCGCUCUGGCGUCAGUUGGACCUGCUCAGCUCCAGGCAGAAUGGAAGACCACGGCAAGCGGAGAUGAUGGGCUUUCUCUGGGCAGAAGGGGUGGAGAGCCCCAGGCCUAGAUUUGCCCCAACUCAUCAGAUAAGUCACUUGCCUUGUCUGGGCCCCUCCAGAUGUAGCUCCUGAGGUAAGAAUGUGAGUGCAAGGCGGGUAUUUGGGGGUGGACCCCAGGAAACAUGAGGAGGGCGGGGGGCCACCGGCCAAAAGUCGCAGAGCCUGGCCUAUGCUCAGUGCUCAGUAAAUGAUCAUCCUUGUCCACCCCUCAUUCAGCAGGCAGAUCAUGUAACCCCAGGAUGUGGCAGUUUGGCUGUGCUCCCACCCCGACACUUUGGGGGAUGUGACAUCAAUGGCAGUGUAGAUGGUGGCACUCGGGAUCCCCGGCCCCCCCGCCCCCCACCACCAGCAGUGUGGUGGCUGAGCUAUGGGUGGGGAGGACAAAGGUGACGGGAAUCAGAAGGAAGGAGCCCCUGUCUGUGACUCAAGGGGGAAACGGAAUUACUCAGUGACUUUGCCAAACUCUGCAUUCGUCUUCCCUUGGUACCAGAGGCGUCACAGUGUGGGUGGGCUCACAUGUGCACACACACACGUGCACAAAUGCAGACACAUGCGAACACACCAUACACAAGUUACCCACAUUUACAACAUGUCCUCACGCGCGUGGGCACGCACACACCCCUAGUCAUUCACCCGUACAUCUCACCUUUGUCGUUGCUGUCUAUGAUCCCAUCAGGCAGGAGGGGUCCUAAAGGGCAGGCCUGGCAAGGUAGCCUCUGUGUGAAGCUUUGUCCCCUCCCUUCUAGUCUGGCCUCACCCCCAACCUGCCCCCCGACCAAGAGCUAGUCAGGCAGUGACCUGGCUCUCUGGCUUCUGCCAUUUCUGCAUCCGGCUUUUCAUUUUGGCUCCGGUCGUGAUCUCAUGUGUUGGUGGGAUUGAGCCCCUCAUCAGGCUCUGGGCUUGGCGGGGAGUCUACUUAGAGAUUCUCUCCCUCAGCCCCUUUCUCCCUCCCCGGAAUAAAUAAGUCCAUUUUUAAAAAAAAAAAAAAAAAGAGAAAGAAAGAAGGAAGGAAGGAAUGUAGAAAGAAAGAAGAAAACCACCACCACCAUCUGUGUUGCUCAUGUGUCUACAAUAGGUAAUUUGGGCUGUGCUCAUCCGGGGCCCUCAUGCAGAAUGAGGGAUGAGUGAGAAUGUGUGUUUACUGAGAACCUAGUACUUGCCAGGCUGUGACUCUCAGGCUUUGACUCUUAGCCAGUGGUCACCCCGGAAGUUCGGCUUCUGAGGGCUGGCGGGAAGCUGGAGCACAGGGCUAAGUGGACCAUGGCUCUCAGCCCUCAGCGACUGGCCUGGCAUGAAGGGUGGCUGAAGAUUCCAAGAACAGUCAGCACUUUUUAAGCCUCAGCGUACCUGAUGUUUAUGACUUGCCAAAGCAGGUCAAUGACCAAGUCCAAGGUCAGCAUGGGAGGGCACUACCAAAGGGCAGGGAAGGAUAUGGGGCCAAUAUUUUGCAAUCUACCACAGGCAGCCUAGCAGGGAGGGUAUACGGGCACAGACCUUCCCUCAGAGAUGCGAUCCCAAGCCCCACCCCACAGCGGGCCGCAGGCUUCUGCUGGACAGCAGUGCCGCAGACUCGAAUCCCCAGUCCCAGGUCCCAACACCGGAUGGCCAGGCAGAAGAAGCCUCUGGAGUGCAUGGAUGGAUAUUGAAUGCACAUCGCUUCUGGCAGCAAGGUGGGCAGCAAGGCGACUUAAACCUCAUCCGGACUCUCCAAAGCCCUCUGUGGCCUGGGAACCUCAUCGGGGGUCCUUGUUCCAGACGGGGAACACCUGGGGUUUGCACCAACACUUGAUUACUUUCACUUGUCUCGUGAAAAAUGGCCCAUGUUUAAGGAUUCAUAAAACUUAGGAAAUGCAUCACUGAGCCUAUAAGGCCGUGAGAGCCCCAUGUAGAGAACGACUUCAAAAGAAGAUUCAUCAAACUAAUUACUUCUCCCCCCCAAACCCUCGCCCCCACCCCGCCCCUCUUUCCGCUUGGCUUGCUCAGAAAGAUGUACAGCCUCGUCGGCUAGGCUGCUCCGAAGCCAGACUCCCGGGUCGGCUUGUGUGGGAGGGGCGGCGAGACACUCUGGCCCUCGAUCUUUCUCCGACUUUCUGGGCAGACAAGAGUUUUUCCUGCUGGUUCAUCUAUUCUGGAGGCUGAGGCAAGGCCAGGGUGCCUAAGGGGCGGGGGUUGGGGGGUGGGAAGAGGGGAGGGAUACUGGGAGGCAGGAAGGUUCUGUGUCGUCCAUCUCUCCGAGACAGAUUCUGUACAACCCCCCCACCCCAUGGCGCCUCCUGCUUGUCCCCUGGGCUGAUCUCUGGGUUCACCCCCAGCUGUGGUGCACAGCCACUGAGCCUGCUGCCCCUUUCCGGCCUCAAGUAUCUGCCUCUUCCUCUCUGCCUCCCUUCCUAGGGCUUUCUGGAGAAGCAUGGGAGUUAGCUUGGCAGAAGGCAAGGUACAGCGCUAGGGUUUGCGGUCACCAGGGUCAACACCAGCCGGCGAGGGAUGAGAGUUUAUGAUGAAUACUUCAGCUUCACGUCUGUAGUGAGUCGAAUGGUGACCCCUGCCAAAAUGUGUCCAACCCAAAACUGUGAGUGCAACUUUGUUGGACAAAGGGUCUUUGUAGACCUAGUCGAGUUAGGGAUCUCAGGGUCAUUCUGGAUUAUUCAAGUGGACUCUCCGUCCAAUGACAAGCAUCCUUAGAAGAGAAGGGGAGAGGACGUGGAGAAGAGAAGGUGACACGAAGGCAGAGGCAGAAAUGGGAGAGCUGCGUCUACAAGCCGGAGAAAACCAAGGCCCGCCAGCAGCCUCCGCAAGUUAGGAAGGAGGCAUGGAACAGCUUAUCCCCUGAAGUCUCCAGAAGGGAGCAACCCUGCUGACACCUUGGUUUCAGACUUCCCACCUCUCGAACUGCGAGACAGCACAUUUCUGUUGUAAGCCUCCCAGUCUGUGCUACUUUAUUCCAGCAGCCCUAGGACCCUGAUACAGCUCCCCUCAGUGGGAUGACUCUGGCAUGGGUUCAGAACAGUUCUGAAGAGGGUCCCCAACAGGAUCGAACCCCAGCUGCAGGUGGUGCCUUAUUUGGCAGAAGGGACUUUGCAGGUGUGAUGACUUGAAGGAUCUUGCAAUGGGGACAUCAUCCCGGCUUAUCCAAGUGAGCCCGGUGUGAUCGCAGGGGUCCUUUGAAGAGGAAGACAGGAGGUCAGAGGAGGAGGAGAAGGCGGUUAUGUGGCCAUAGACCUAGAGGUUGGAGUGAUGCGGCCCUGAGGCAAGGAAAACCAGCAGCCUCUAGAAGCUAAAAGAAGGAAAGAACAGAUUAUGAACCUGUUAACCAGUUGCUGGGCUCCACCUGUUGGAAUACAAGGUCCAGUAAGAUAUGGUCUUGGCCUCGGGUCCACAGAGUGCAGUUCUGAUUCGGAGACAGCUCAGAGCCUAGAAGCAGCGGGGAGACCACCAACGCCUGUGGGAAGGGGAUUCCUGAGCCACUGCCCCAAAUGGAACAAAGGUGCUCCUUGAUACCUUGAGCCAAAGCAGUUAGGACCUCUCAACUGUCACUCUUCCACAUCCCUGCCCCCUCCCAGCCCCCUGUGCAAAGGCUCAGUAGUAAUAGUCACAGCUGGGAUAACCAGUGGUCCUAGUAGCAAUAAUUACCACCGUCCCAGCGCUGACAUUGCCAACACCCCAGGCCUUAGACUCCAGUGUGCUGAUGGAGGCUCAGCUUCCCAUCUGAGAAGUCCUUAUCGUCCCAGCAUCACCCAGAAUGGCAGGUGUUCUGGGUUCCUGAACACGAUUCUAAUUGUAUAGAGGGGGGUGAAGGGGGGGGUCCCCACACCCAACAGCAAGCAAUGUUCUGGAUGCCAGCUGGGUGUCCUACCAUUCAAGGCAGUUCUGACUCCAUCUCCCCAGAGACGGCACCAGACCCAGCAGGUAAGGGCUCAGGUCCUCCAAGAUCGCACCCCCGUACCCUCACAUGCCAGCCCAAGGCCAGGCUGUCGCCUGUGCUUCUGACCCACAGGCUAUAAAUCAGAGGUUCCCAUGACCCCCUCCUUCCUUGGGUUUGAUUAAUUUGCUAGAGCAGCUCACACAACUCAAAUGUUUCACGUCCCUGAUCAGCUUAUUUGUAAAAGGAUAAAACUCCGGAACAUCCAGGUGGAAGAGAUGCACAGGGUGAGGUCUGGGGUAAGAGGUGUGGAGCUUCCACGCCCUCUCCCCAAAUCCCUCUGAGUUCACCAACACAGAACUCUCCCAACCCCGUCCUUUUGGGUUUUUAUGGAGGCUUCAUCACACAGGCAUGAUGGAUGAAGUCAUUGCAUUGGCGAUGGUUACGACCUCCAGCCCCCCUCUCCUUCCCCAGGGUGGGGGGGUGGGGGGGUUAGGAGGAAAGUUUCAAUCCCCCAGUCACUUGGUUGGUUCCCCUGGCAACCAGCCCCCAUCUGGAGGUGUUUUCCAAAAGUCACUUCAUUAACAUAACAAAAGAUACCUUUGCGACUCUCCUCUCUGGAUUUUCCAUAGUUUCCAGGAACUCUUUGCCAGGACUGAGGUUGAAGAUCAAAUAUGUCUUUCUUAUUACAAAUCAGUGUCACAGCAGCCAUGGUCACUGCAAAGUCUGAGCUCUCUCUCGAGUCCUAGAAACUACUUCAUCUGAGGUGAGAACUGUGUGUGGUGUGGGGGAAAUACAGAAGGUUCCAGAUGGACCUCAGAGAGGCUCCUUCUCUUUCUUUCUCCUUCUCUGAUCAGACACCCACCUCCUCCCCGCCCCUUACGUCUUCCAUGUGGCCUCGCAGAGGACUGGGGCUUGGAAAAUGCGUGGUCACAGUGAUGCCUACCUUUGGUAAAUGAGAUGUAGGCAUUACCGCAAGAGAUAACUAGGACUAAAAGCAGAAAUAACACAACCUCCCCAAUGUCUGUGAAAAGGAGUUCCCAAGCCACAGGCCAGAGGGAUUCAUUUGUCUAGAAUCAGGGAAGGCUCCGAGGAGGAGGUGGCAUUCGCCGUGAGGAAAUGCUGGGAUGGGGGCAAGUGGUUUUGGGGAGGAAUGGCAGGAACAGAGCCAGAGGUAGAAAGAAGUUUCCAGGGCCCCGGUAAGGAACUGUCCCAGGUGACCUCCCCUGUGUCUGGCCCCAGAGGGAGCCCCCUGAGCCCGUCCUCAGUCCUGCCCUCAGAGGCCCAAAGCCCGGGCCACACUCCACCAUGACAGCAGGGACCCACUGCAGGCCAGCAGCCCAGACAGGUGAGUGGCAGGGCUGGGGGCCAAGAGGUCGGGAGCACCCAUGCCAUUUCCAUUUGGCCAGGGCUGGUCUGGCUUGCAGGGGAUACAAUGACUGAUGGACCGGAAGGGUGUCUGCUGUCUGCACUUGCUUCCCUUCACUGUGGCACAAACUUUCUAGAGGGCACCUUGGUCAUGGGUCAAAAGCUUGAUCAAGACCCGGCAAUUCUAGAAAGAGGAAGUGGAAUCCACAACACAGGUGAGCUCAAUCACAGUGUAGUUUAUUGUAGUGAAAACUUGCACAGGACUUCAAAUGAACCAUGGGAGGUACAUUUAGUAAGUGAUAACGUUUUCAUACAGCAGAAUGCUGCAUAGCCAUUAACUCAGCGUAGAUCUAUUUUUAUCUAGGGAAAUACUCGCGAUCUACCGUUAAGGGAAUAAAGCAGUUUUCGAAUUAGUUCCUGUGGCAUCUCCUAAGUUCGUUGAACUAGAUCUAUGGAAACGUAGACGUCUGCAGAGGUGACUGUUUAAGAUGUACACCGCUGCAGGGGCACCUGGGUGGCUCAGUGGGUUAAGCCUCUGCCUUCGGCUCCGGUCAUCAUCCCAGGGUCCUGGGAUCAAGCCCCGAGUUGGGCUCUCGGCUCGGCAGGGAGUCGGCUUCCCCCUCUCUCUCUGUCUGCCUCUCUGCCUACUUGUGAUCUCUGUGUGUCAAAUAAAUAAAUAAAAUAUUAAAAAAAAAAAAAGAUGUACACCGCUGCAGGUUCACAGUGGCUGGCGCAGGCCAGGGGAACUUGGGGUGAUUUCCAUCUUCACUAUGUGGCUUGUCUAUGUCGUUGGUUUAUAGUGGGUUUUAUUUAUUUAUUUGUUUAAAAAAUAUAGGGACGCCUGGCUGGCUCAGCGGAUAGAGCUCAGGACUCUUGAUCUCAGGGUAGUGAGUUUGAGCCCCACUU